CCCCUAGAUGUUCUGGGCCGCACGCGCGCUACACUGAACAGUUCAACAAGUCUUAACCUUGGCCGAUAGGUCUGGGUAAUCUUUGAACGCUGUUCGUGAUUGGGAUAGACCUUUGCAAUUAUGGGUCUUCAACGAGGAAUUCCUAGUAAACGCAGAUCAUCAAUCUGCAUUGAUUACGUCCCUGCCCUUUGUACACACCGCCCGUCGCACCUACCGAUUGAAUGGUCCGGUGAAGCCUCGGGAUUGUGGCGAGUUUCCUUUAUUGGAAGUUUGUCGCGAGAACUUGUCUAAACCUUAUCAUUUAGAGGAAGGUGAAGUCGUAACA
rnacentral:rRNA from 1 species